rnacentral:rRNA from 1 species
UUUAAAUGGCCGCAGUAUACUGACUGUGCAAAGGUAGCAUAAUCAUUAGUCUUUUAAUUGAAGGCUGGUAUGAAUGGUUGGACGAAAUAUUAACUGUUUCAUAAAAAUUUAUAUUAGAAUUUUAUUUUUUAGUUAAAAAGCUAAAAUUUAUUUAAAAGACGAGAAGACCCUAUAAAUCUUUAUAAUUAAGUUAUUAUAAUUAUUUUUAUUUUUUUUGUUAUAAUAAUAAAUAUUAUUUUAUUGGGGUGAUAUUAAAAUUUGAUAAACUUUUAAUUGUUUAAAAUACAUUAAUUUAUGAAUAAUUGAUCCAUUAUUAAUGAUUAAAAAUUUAAGAUACUUUAGGGAUAACAGCGUAAUUUUUUUGAAGAGUUCAUAUCGAUAAAAAAGAUUGCGACCUCGAUGUUGGAUUAAGAUAUAGUUUUAGGUGUAGCUG